rnacentral:rRNA from 1 species
GGGCCCGCACAAGCGGUGGAGCAUGUGGUUUAAUUCGAUGAUACGCGAGGAACCUUACCAGGGUUUGAAAUCAUUUCAAAACUCCUUGAAAGAGGAGCCUCCUUCGGGAUGAAAUGACAGGUGGUGCAUGGCUGUCGUCAGCUCGUGUUGUGAAAUGUCGAGUUAAGUCUCGUAACGAGCGCAACCCAUGUCUCUUGUUGCUCACUGAGUGCUUAAGAGAGACUGCCGACCAACAUCGGAGGAAGGUGUGGAUGAUGUCAAGUCAGCAUGCCCCUUACAUCCUGGGCUACACACGUACUACAAUGGUAGGGACAAUGAGCUGCGAUCCUGCGAAGGCUAGCCAAUCUCAAAAACCCUAUCUCAGUUCGGAUUGUACUCUGCAACUCGAGUACAUGAAGGUGGAAUCGCUAGUAA